rnacentral:piRNA from 1 species
UACAAAAGCCACUAACUUAUUAAGAAUG